rnacentral:rRNA from 1 species
ACUCCUACGGGAGGCAGCAGUGGGGAAUAUUGGACAAUGGGCGAAAGCCUGAUCCAGCGACGCCGCGUGGGUGAAGAAGGCCUGCGGGUUGUAAAGCCCUUUCGGUGGGGAAGAAAAGCCUCGAGUUAAUACCUCGGGGUCUUGACGUAACCCAUAGAAGAAGCACCGGCUAACUCUGUGCCAGCAGCCGCGGUAAUAAUGAGGGUGCGAGCGUUAAUCGGA